GUAGGUGAACCUGCGGAAGGAUCAUUAACACGUUUUCCGAACGUUUUCUAUGAACCAUCUCUAUUUUCCGUGAACAACAACAAUACCCGGCCUCCUAACCAGACCCGCUUGUUUACAGGUGUGUGACUGUGCUGGGCGUCUCUUUUUAGGGCAACAUGAGGUUUGAUUGGAAUCUGAACGAGAUUGCGGCUUAGCGGCUGCUUUUUCUAGUAUGAUUACGAUUGCCUUCCUUUAAAGAGGCGUUGCCAAACAACCCAAACCCCUUAAAUCUAAUUGCUCUGAACUCUUUAGUUGCUGGAGGCGUGUUCUUCGGAAUGUGUCCUCUUCAACGAAUUAAAAACAAACAACAACUCUUAACAACGGAUAUCUUGGUUCUC
rnacentral:misc_RNA from 1 species